GUCAGGAUAGCUCAGCCGGUAGAGCAGAGG
rnacentral:tRNA from 6 species